GAUCUGGCUCAGGACGAACGCUGGCGGCGUGCCUAACACAUGCAAGUCGAGCGGAGACAUGCGACGGAAGUGAAGUUUCGGAUGGAGCUGAAGAUGUAUGUUUAGCGGCGGACGGGUGAGUAACGCGUGAGCAACCUGUCCCUUACAGGGGGAUAACACAGCGAAAGUUGUACUAAUACCGCAUGAGACCACGGUGAGACAUCUCACAGGGGUCAAAGGAGCAAUCCGGUAAGGGGUGGGCUCGCGUCCGAUUAGAUAGUUGGUGAGGUAACGGCCCACCAAGUCGACGAUCGGUAGCCGACCUGAGAGGGUGAUCGGCCACAUUGGGACUGAGACACGGCCCAAACUCCUACGGGAGGCAGCAGUGGGGAAUAUUGGGCAAAUGGGGGAAACCCUGACCCAGCAACGCCGCGUGAGGGAAGAAGGUUUUCGGAUCGUAAACCUCUGUCCUUGGUGAAGAGAAAGAGACGGUAGCCAAGGAGGAAGCCCCGGCUAACUACGUGCCAGCCGCCGC
rnacentral:rRNA from 1 species